GACGAACGCUGGCGGCGUGCCUAAUACAUGCAAGUUGAGCGCUGAAGGUUGGUACUUGUACCAACGGGAUGAGCAGCGAACGGGUGAGUAACGCGUGGGGAAUCUGCCUUUGAGCGGGGGACAACAUUUGGAAACGAAUGCUAAUACCGCAUAAAAACUUUAAACACAAGUUUUAAGUUUGAAAGAUGCAAUUGCAUCACUCAAAGAUGAUCUCGCGUUGUAUUAGCUAGUUGGUGAGGUAAAGGCUCACCAAGGCCAUGAUACAUAGCCCACCUGAAAGGGCGAUCUGCCCACUUGGGACUGAAACACCGCCCAAACCCCCACCGGAGGCAGCAGCAGGGACGCUUCCGCCAUGGAGCAAAGUCUGACCGAGCAACGCCGCGUGAGGGAAGAAGGUUUUCGGAUCGUAAAACUCUGUUGGUAGAGAAGGACGUUGGUGAGAGUUAAAAGCUCAUCAAGUGACGGUAACUACUCAGAAAGACACGGCUAACUACGUG
rnacentral:rRNA from 1 species